rnacentral:lncRNA from 1 species
UGAGCUUGUGCUCUAGAGCCCGAGCUUCUGGCUGUCCAUUCCCUGAUAUAAGAAAGGUUUCCUUUGCGUCUGCACCGGACUAGUUCUCGCUGGCCUGAGAUACCCGGCAGGAGGUGUCUUGUUGGGGUCCAACUGAAAAGGGUCAGUAAUGGUAGGAGCAGGCCAGGCAGUGGGCUAAGAGAGCUGAGUAGUGGGAUCCCAUCGUCCUCACAGCAGCUCCGUGGUGGUGUACCAUUGUCGCCCUCUUUUGCACGUGAGAAGCCAGCCGUAUGGAAGUUAAGUAACUUGCUCCUUGUCACUCAGCGAGUGGAGGUGAAAAACAGUUGUGCAGAAGAGAGCAGAAGCUGCCUGGUUUCUAAACUUGGAAGUUCUGAGUCUCAAAUGCCAGGUAUCAGCUUAGGACAGGACUUUGGCUCAAGGACCCUAUGAGAACCAGGUGCAGUUUGGGAGCUUUCUGCAUCACUCUGAGGCUUGCCUUACCACAGUCCAAGGCCGCCAUACCUUGUGUUCAGCAGGUAAGUGGAUGCAGAACCAAGGGCUUACAAAGAAUGAGACUGAAUGUGGACUAGAGCAAUGCUC